rnacentral:piRNA from 1 species
UGAGUAGGUAUACCAGCCCAGUGAA